rnacentral:lncRNA from 1 species
GCUGGGGAUUAUUACUACUUUUUUUUUUACUUUUCUUGAACCCCGAAACUUUCUGAUUGAUUUCCUUUUUUUCAUUUUCUUGAACCCCGAACAAAUAUUUUCUUUUGCGCGAAUGAUCCCGGAUCACCGCAGUUGAACCCAGACAAAUUUUUUUUUACUUUUCUUGAACCCCGAAACUUUCUGAUUGAUUUCCUUUUUUUCAUUUUCUUGAACCCCGAACAAAUAUUUUCUUUUGCGCGAAUGAU